AUUACUAGAAAUUAAACUAAAUAAAGGGAAAGUAAAUAUACAAGAAUAUGCUAAUAAAGGCUAAUUAUUCUAAUUUAAAACUAAUUAUUAUAAUUGAUAUCCUCCCGCAAGUUGGACAAUCUGGAAGAGAGAUGCAACUUGAACAGUAAUGAGUCAAACCGAGGAUGAAGCAGAUAGGCUUUGUAUUCUCCUUCAGUUGAGGAACGCCCAAUCUGCAUCUUUAGACACCGUGUGGAGACACUCCUUUAAUUGCUUGAGGUAUAAGAGGGUCCUGUCGACGUAGGUUUGAUAAGCAGGAUUCAGAGUUGGAGGUACAACGGUGGUGGAGAUCGUCAUUGGCGGCGCAGGAAAGGAUUCAUCUGGAUAUUAAGGAAGGAUCGACGUCCUGUGUUGAAGAAGAUAAAAAUAAAAUAAAAUAAAAUAAAAAUGAAGGAAUAGAGGCAUUCCAAGUGGUUCUUGAGAGCGUCUGGAAAACCGACAAUGGAGGAAGGAGCGACGUCCUUUUGGUGGCCGGUUACAGUGACGGUUGGGGUGAUGGUGACCGGUGACAGUGAUGGUGGCCAUAUGUACUUGGCUAGGGCAAUUAGGUGGAUUACACAUAAAGAAACAUGUUCAAAAAGAGACUUUAAGGGGGGGCCGCCGGUGGCAGCGGCCAUAGGCCACCGACGGCAACAAAGACAGAGUAGAAAAGGAUCAGAAAACCUGCUCUGAUACCAUAUAGAAAGUAUUGUAAAAUGAAUUUCUUAUUUGAUCAUUGGAUUGCAAUAGUAUAAAUAUACAAAUUGAUAACCUAAUUGGAAAGAGUUAACGGGAAUAAACUCUACCAAUUUAAUAUCAAUUAUUAUAAUAUCAAUUAUAAUAAUUGAUAUUUAUUACUAGAAAUUAAACUAAAUAAAGAGAAAGUAAAUAUACAAGAAUAUGUUAAUAAAGACUAAUUAUUCUAAUUUAAAAUUAAUUAUUAUAAUUGAUAUGUACAAACCAACCCGGUGUUGCAACUCAGAUAGCCCGAAACUGCAACUCAGACAACUCGACAUUGCAGCAUGGACAACCCAUCCUAGAGCUACGGCUCAAACAACCUAGUAUUGCAACUCGGAAAACCUGACAAUGACAAAAAACGUAGAAAACAACGCAUUCCAGCAUGAUACAACACGAUUUUACCACAAAAACAAAAAGCAAAGCAUACAUCAACGCGUACUAACACAUCAUGCAUCAUAAACACAACCAUAUGGACCAAAGCAAGCUUUUAAACUCACUACUACUCCCUAAGUUUGCUAGGACGAGUUCUAUUGCAUUCCAGACCUAAACACAGACUUUGAACAACCCUUCCUAAAUGUUUCACUACUACCAAGUGUUACCAAUAAGGGAG
rnacentral:lncRNA from 1 species